rnacentral:rRNA from 1 species
CCGGCGCACGGGUGAGUAACACGUAUGCAAUCCACCUGUAACAGGGGGAUAACCCGGAGAAAUCCGGACUAAUACCCCAUAAUAUGGGCGCUCCGCAUGGAGAGCCCAUUAAAGAAAGCAAUUUUGGUUACAGACGAGCAUGCGCUCCAUUAGCCAGUUGGCGGGGUAACGGCCCACCAAAGCGACGAUGGAUAGGGGUUCUGAGAGGAAGGUCCCCCACAUUGGAACUGAGACACGGUCCAA